CGGUGAAGCUCAGCUUGCUGGGUGGAUCAGUGGCGAACGGGUGAGUAACACGUGAGCAACCUGCCCUCCACUUCGGGAUAAGCCUUGGAAACGAGGUCUAAUACCGGAUACGAGCACUUACCGCAUGGUGGGUGUUGGAAAGUUUUUCGGUGGGGGAUGGGCUCGCGGCCUAUCAGCUUGUUGGUGGGGUAAUGGCCUACCAAGGCGUCGACGGGUAGCCGGCCUGAGAGGGCGACCGGCCACACUGGGACUGAGACACGGCCCAGACUCCUACGGGAGGCAGCAGUGGGGAAUAUUGCACAAUGGGCGAAAGCCUGAUGCAGCGACGCCACGUGAGGGAUGACGGCCUUCGGGUUGUAAACCUCUUUCAGCAGGGAAGAAGCGCAAGUGACGGUACCUGCAGAAGAAGCGCCGGCUAACUACGUGCCAGCAGCCGCGGUAAUACGUAGGGCGCAAGCGUUGUCCGGAAUUAUUGGGCGUAAAGAGCUCGUAGGCGGUCUGUCGCGUCUGGUGUGAAAUCCCAUGGCUCAACCAUGGGCUUGCAUCGGGUACGGGCAGACUAGAGUGCUGUAGGGGAGACUGGAAUUCCUGGUGUAGCGGUGGAAUGCGCAGAUAUCAGGAGGAACACCGAUGGCGAAGGCAGGUCUCUGGGCAGUUACUGACGCUGAGGAGCGAAAGCAUGGGGAGCGAACAGGAUUAGAUACCCUGGUAGUCCAUGCCGUAAACGUUGGGCACUAGGUGUGGGGCGGGUUCCACUCGUUCUGUGCCGCAGCUAACGCAUUAAGUGCCCCGCCUGGGGAGUACGGCCGCAAGGCUAAAACUCAAAGGAAUUGACGGGGGCCCGCACAAGCGGCGGAGCAUGCGGAUUAAUUCGAUGCAACGCGAAGAACCUUACCAAGGCUUGACAUGUACGAGAAAGCCCCAGAGAUGGGGUUCUCUUUGGACACUCGUACACAGGUGGUGCAUGGUUGUCGUCAGCUCGUGUCGUGAGAUGUUGGGUUAAGUCCCGCAACGAGCGCAACCCUUAUCCUAUGUUGCCAGCGGGUUAUGCCGGGGACUCAUGG
rnacentral:rRNA from 1 species